UAGGGAAUUGUUCGCAAUGGGCGCAAGCCUGACGACGCAACGCCGCGUGGAGGAUGAAGACCUUCGGGUCGUAAACUCCUUUCGACCGAGAUGAACACUUGCAGAUCUAAUACAUCGGCAAGCUGACAGUAUCGAGGGAAGCAGCCCCGGUUAACUCCGUGCCAGCAGCCGCGGUAAUACGGGGGGGGCAAGCGUUGUUCGGAAUUACUGGGCGUAAAGGGUUCGUAGGUGGCCUGCUAAGUCAGACGUGAAAUCCCUCGGCUUAACCGGGGAACUGCGUCUGAGACUGGCGGGCUUGAGUACAGGAGAGGAACGCGGAAUUCCAGGUGUAGCGGUGAAAUGCGUAGAUAUCUGGAGGAACACCGGUGGCGAAGGCGGCGUUCUGGACUGUUACUGACACUGAGGAACGAAAGCCAGGGGAGCAAACGG
rnacentral:rRNA from 1 species